AUGGUCAAUUCUGCCAUGUUUUAUGACAUUGCUGAGCCCUUAAGCCACAUCUCUUCUGAGCUAGCUGCAGACAAAGUUCCAAACAUAGCAGGAAACAUUCAUGCUGUGAGGUCUGGAGAGAAUGGAUUUGGCCAUAAGGGCUCCUGCUUUCACAGAAUUAUUCCAGGGCUUAUGUGCCAGGGUGGUGACUUCACACGCCAUCAUGACACUGGCAGCAAGUCCAUCUAUGGGCAGAAAUUUGAUGGUGAGAACUUCAUCCUGAAGCAUUCAGGUCCUGGCAUCUUGUGCAUGGCAAAUGCUGGACCCGACACAAAUGGUUCCCAGGUUUUCAUCUGUACUGCCAAAACUGAGUGGUGGGCCAGCAGCCAGGUGGUCUUUGCAAGGUGCAAGGAGGCAUGAAUAUCAUGGAAGCCAUGGAGCGCUUUGGGUCCAGGAAGAGCAAGACCAGCAAGAUCACCAUUGCCAAAUGUGGACAACUCCAAUAA
rnacentral:lncRNA from 1 species